rnacentral:tRNA from 1 species
GUCCGAGUGGCGGAAUGGCAGACGCACUAGACUUAAAAUCUGGCGAACAUAGUUCGUACGGGUUCGAAUCCCGUCUCGGAUACCA